AGAAAAAUGAAGCCCCUUUAGAAAUGUGAAGCUGCCGAGAUAAUGACUGCGACCUGCUCUAAGACUGGAUGGGAACAGGAAGGUGCUGGAAGACCACAACUUUGGAGCUAUCCUUCGGGAGGGGACUUCACAUUUAUGCUACUGCACGGCUUUCAUUUCCAGAAAUUGGAGAAAAUCCAGUAGAAUUCAUACCCAAACAGCUUAAACUGAUUUCAGUGCUGGAGCUGCUACUGCUCACCCUGGCAGGGAGAGAUAGGCUGGGACAUGAGAAAAUCACU